AGUUCCAUUGAAAUCCUAUUAUGGACUGACCUAAGCCAAUGCGGUACUUCAGGAAAUGCCUGUUUGACAUACAUAUAAGGAGCUUCCAGCAUUCCGAGGUAAAGAAAAGGACUCAGAUAAUACCAAGGAACUCUGGAGAAUGUAUUCCUAAUGAAGGUAUUUCCAUUGUCAACCAAGCAUGCCAGGAAAAUGCAAGUUAAUCAGCACAAACACACUUAUGGAAGGCACACUGUGUCCUUCCGUCUGAUUGUGUCUACAGAAGCAGAAGAGUCAAAUUAUGCAGUCAACUUAAAGUCAUGAUUCAAAAUAAGAUUUUUAAGAAGAAUCACAGGAGUUCUCCAAGGCUUCAUCAUUGCAAGUCAUUUUGCUAAUAACAGGAAAACUACUACUGACAUAUUUUUCCACAUUAUAUUCGAUCCUACACACAACCUGAUAUUCCCAUUCUAGAGACUGGAACAGUUCAGCUCAGAAGAGUUAAGCAAGUGAGUUGGCCAAUAUCACAAAAUGAAACAGGAUACAGGGUCCAAAGCCCUGUCUUCCUGGCUCCAAAUCCUGACCUCUUUCCUGCUUAAUCUGUUACUGUAUCCAAGCCCCUGAACAAACUAAACUAGUGAACUAUGAACUCAAAAUGACAAAAUCACACAAACAUGCCACAUAGGCUACUUCAUACCUUUAGU